GCCCUAGUAGCUUAAUUUCCAAAGCAUCGGUCUUGUAAUCCGAAGAUCGGAGGUGAAACCCCUCCCUCGCGC
rnacentral:tRNA from 1 species